rnacentral:ncRNA from 1 species
GGUUAAGUUGGCUUUUCAAGUCCGCCGUCAAAUCCCAGGGCUCAACCCUGGAUAGGCGGUGGAAACAACCAAGCUGGAGUACGGUAGGGGCAGAGGGAAUUUCCGGUGGAGCGGUGAAAUGCAUUGAGAUCGGAAAGAACACCAACGGCGAAAGCACUCUGCUGGGCCGACACUGACACUGAGUC